GACUCAACGGUCUGCAUGGUGUUGUG
rnacentral:piRNA from 1 species